rfam:Glomerella graminicola M1.001 genomic scaffold supercont1.19, whole genome shotgun sequence.
GGUCUGGUGGUGUAGUUGGUUAUCACGUCAGUCUAACAGCUCGAGGACAUCUCACGAUAUCUUCACUGCGCACUGAAGGUCUCCGGUUCAAGUCCGGGCUAGAUCA